AAUCUCAGUUCAGACUGCAGGCUGCAAUUCGCCUUCAUGAAGCCGGAAUUGCUAGUAAUGGCAGGUCAGCAUACUGCCGUGAAUACGUUCCCGGGCCUUGUACACACCGCCCGUCACACCAUGAGAGUUGGGAAUACCCGAAGCCUGUGAGCUAACUUUUAGAGGCAGCAGUCGAAGGUAGAAUCAAUGAUUGGGGUGAAGUCGUAACAAGGUACC
rnacentral:rRNA from 1 species